ACGGGAGCAAUCCUGGUGGCGAGUGGCGAACGGGUGAGUAAUAUAUCGGAACGUGCCCAGUCGUGGGGGAUAACGCAGCGAAAGCUGUGCUAAUACCGCAUACGAUCUCUGGAUGAAAGCGGGGGACCGCAAGGCCUCGCGCGAUUGGAGCGGCCGAUAUCAGAUUAGCUAGUUGGUGGGGUAAAAGCUCACCAAGGCGACGAUCUGUAGCUGGUCUGAGAGGACGACCAGCCACACUGGAACUGAGACACGGUCCAGACUCCUACGGGAGGCAGCAGUGGGGAAUUUUGGACAAUGGGCGCAAGCCUGAUCCAGCAAUGCCGCGUGCAGGAUGAAGGCCUUCGGGUUGUAAGCUGCUUUUGUACGGAACGAAACGGUUCUUUUUAAUAAAGAGGGCUAAUGACGGUACCGUAAGAAUAAGCACCGGCUAACUACGUGCCAGCAGCCGCGGUAAUACGUAGGGUGCGAGCGUUAAUCGGAAUUACUGGGCGUAAAGCGUGCGCAGGCGGUUUUGUAAGACAGAUGUGAAAUCCCCGGGCUCAACCUGGGACCUGCAUUUGUGACUGCAAGGCUAGAGUACGGUAGAGGGGGAUGGAAUUCCGCGUGUAGCAGUGAAAUGCGUAGAUAUGCGGAGGAACACCGAUGGCGAAGGCAAUCCCCUGGACCUGUACUGACGCUCAUGCACGAAAGCGUGGGGAGCAAACAGGAUUAGAUACCCUGGUAGUCCACGCCCUAAACGAUGUCAACUGGUUGUUGGGUCUUUACUGACUCAGUAACGAAGCUAACGCGUGAAGUUGACCGCCUGGGGAGUACGGCCGCAAGGUUGAAACUCAAGGAAUUGACGGGGACCCGCACAAGCGUGGAUGAUGUGGUUUAAUUCGAUGC
rnacentral:rRNA from 1 species